UGAAUGUCUCUCUUUCACAAAUGAACCUUUGUUGCUAUGUCCAUUCAUAACAUAUCCUUCCACAACUUCCACAUUUGUUGCUGCCACAUGUUUCUAUUCCGAGCUCUGCAUACCUACCAUUUAUUAUCUUAUGAUUUUUGAAGUAGAAACACGUGCUGCUAUAGCACCAUCUUUGGUUCUAUAUAAAGAACCAAAAAGCAGUACUCCAAAACAUCUCCAACAACACCUUCCAAAUCGAUCAACCAUGAAGCCAACCGUAGUUCUUGCUCUCUCUUUCCUCCUUCCCCUCCUUGCUUUCUUCACCAACAUUCCCUUAGCUUUCUCAGAUGAUGUUGAACAAGUUGUGGACAUAUAUGGGAACCCCAUUUACCCAGGUUUUUCAUACUACAUCAUCCCAGCACUCCGUGGUCCAGGUGGUGGUGGAUUGAAACUUGCCCAAACUGGAAACUCAGAGUGCUCUCUUACUAUCCUGCAAGAUUACUCUGAAGUCUUCCGUGGCCUUCCUGUGCAAUUCACCAUUCCCGGAAUCAGUCCUGGAAUCAUCUUCACAGGUACUAAUUAAAACUUAAUUGUCAUGAAUUGAAUUGUUAGAAGUUUCAAGUGGAUUAAAAGUAAAACCAAUUUAUAAUAUAUAAUAUAACGCUGAUUUUGUGAGAUUGAGUCAAGUUUAAAGUUCACUCCUUAAUAUGGUAUCAUAGUAAUGAUUAGAGUCUAUCUUAAGAUAUUUGUUGUUUAUUGAACAUUUUGUUCGACCUGUUAUCGGAUCAUUAUUCGACCACUUAUUAAUAUCUAGUCUCACGCUUUGUUUAUACGUUGGACGUAAAGAGUGUGUUGAGAGUGUGACAUCAAUUAAUGAUAAGAUAAAAUUAAUUUGUAAUAUAUAAAUGAAUGUGGACCUCGUCUUAUUAGAGACCGGUUUUAUAAUAUUGAAAUAGGUUUGAAAUUGACUUAUAAAAUUUCGUAUAAAUUAUCUUCUGUUACUAAUUUCAAGUUUUGGAAACAUCCCUAUAGGUACCGAACUGGAGAUCGAGUUCGUAGAGAAGCCAUGGUGUGCAAAAUCCUCCAAGUGGUCGUUGUUCAUAGAUGUAUCAAUCGGGAAGGCAUGUUUGGGAAUUGGUGGUGCCGAAGGCCAUCCAGGGCAAUCAACUUAUGAUGGCAAAUUUCACAUUAAGAAAUACAUAUUUGGGUACAAGCUUGUGUUCUGCCUCGAUGCCACAAAAGCUUGCUUGGAUAUUGGGAGAUUUGAUGCCAAGAACGGCGAGGAAGGAAGACGCUUGAAUACGACUCAGGAUGAAGCAUUCGAUAUUGUGUUCGUACCAGCUUUUAAAGCUGAUAAGGUUAUUAAGUCUGUAGCUUGAGUCAAAUAUCUCUAGUUAAUCAGAUUUUAGUUAAUGCAUAUGUUGUUGUUUUGAAAGUGCUGUGCCCUUACUGUUUGAUUAUUUAUACAUUGGUCAUAUAUAUAUAUAUAUAUAUAUAUAUAUAUAUAUAUAUAUAUUAUUUUACAUUGUUACUUAAUGGAAAGUGACUCUCAAAUUUAAACUAUUACGUUAUAAAAAUUAAGGAAAAUGAUAUUUUUACACCAAUUUUUGACACUAUUUUGACACUGCACACGUGUCAAAACAUGGUUGGACGAUAUUAAAUUAAAAAAACUGAAACAAGGACAUAUUUGGAAGAAAAAAACCAAACUUUUUUUUUUAAUUUGAAAUCAUCCAACCACGUUUUGACACGUGUACAGUAUCAAAAUGGUGUCAAAAAAUUGGUGUCAAAAUAUCAUUUUUCAAAAAUUAAAUCAAAAUGUGAAAGAAUGUGUGAGUUCUAUUUUAAUUGAAAAUAUGUAUAUGUCAGAAUUUCUCUUCAAGAACUUUUAGGAAGAAAAAAAAAAUGAAAUUAGUAUCUCAAUAAAUUAAAAAUAAUUUAUUAAUAAAUUAAUCUAUUGACAUUAUUUUACGUAGCUUCUUAAGAGUUAUUUUUAACUUACGUAUGAUGCCAUUUUAGUUUAUGAAAAACUUUAUGUAUUUUUAUUUUUUUUAUCUUAAAAGUUGUUAAGGAGAAACUCGUAUUACUAUAAAGACUCCUAUUACAUAUUUAGACAGAAUAUACGAUUUAAUGUGCGAAAGUUUUAGUGGAAUAAACAGUCAAUUAACAUAACAUGGUAGGGAUUAUCAACCGAAUACAUUUCCUACUCACGGUUAUACCUACAAACAUCAAAGCAUUUUUUUUUAAUCAACAAAGAAUAAAUAUAAUUAUAUUGGAUCACUUGGUUGCUCUAUCCCAUUUACAUAAUAUAUGUUAGUAUUUUAAUCUGAAUAUCUCCCAACUGUAAUAACUGUCCUCUGACAGUUAUUCUCAUUCUUUAGUUUUACUCUUUAAAUACUUCUUUUGUACUCUCUAUUUCAAUUUUCUUCAAUAAGAAUAACUCUCAUUUUCUUCAAACUCUCUUACACUCUGUAUUCUCUCCUCUGCAUAAUUGCUUCUCUGCAUAAUUCUUCCAAACUGUAACAUUGGUAUCAGGAGCUAGGAAAUUCGGUGAAGACAGCUCAAGUCAUUUCAAGAAGAAAAGUGUUCGUGAGUAAUGGCUGGAAUGAUGCACAGCAACCUACCUGUUUUCGAUGGCAAAGGAUUCGAUGAUUGGUGUAUUAAGAUGGACGCGAUCCUCGGCUUUCAAGAGGUAGAUGAAAUUGUAAGAAAAGGUUUUAAAGAACCUGUCAAGGAUGAUUCAGAAGCAGCCAAGAAGCUAUACAAGGAAAACAAGAAGUUGGAUUGCAAAGCAAGAAUGUUGUUGCAUCAGUGCAUAUCGGCAACAAUUUUUCAGAAAGUCUCAAAGGCUACUACGGCGAAGGAGAUUUGGGAUAUCUUGCAAGAUGGUUAUGGCAAUUCUGGAAAGGUCAAGAAGACAAGAUUACAGUCAUUGCAGAGACAGUAUGAACUUCUCGCCAUGAAGGAGCAAGAAACAGUGGUCGAAUACAUUGGUAGACUUCAAUUGAUUGUGAAUGCAAUGAGAGCGUGUGAUAAGAUUGUCAAAGACAAGAAAAUUGUAGAGAAAAUACUCAGAACCCUAACCCCUCAAUUUGAUCAUAUAGCUUUGACCAUAGAAGAAACUAAAGAUCUCGAGAAGUUGAAGGUGGAGGAAUUGCAGAAUUCUUUAGAAGCGCAUGAGCAAAGAUUAAUCGAAAGGAGAAAUGUUGAAAAAGGCGAAAAUCAAGGCGUGAGUCAAGCAUUACAAGCCAGAAAUGAUUACAAACCCAGAGGCCGUGGGAGAGGCAGAGGUCGAUCAAGAGGAGGACGCAAUGGUGGUAGAGGCAUGAAACCAUCAGAUCAAAGUAAUGAAGAUAAUGGAGGUGAACAAAAGAAUGGAAGUGGUCGAGGAGGUCGACACUCGAGAGGCAGAGGCAGAAAGGGUUAUGACAAAAGGAGUAUCCAGUGCUUCACUUGCAGCAAAUACGGCCAUUAUUCCACGGAGUGUUGGCAUAAUGAAGAUUCGAAGGGAACCAAGAAUGGAGGGUCAGCCAAUCUUGCACAAGAAACUGAAGAAUCAGAGUCUGAUCAUAUUGUGUUAAUGAGCACAAUUGAAAGAUUCGAAAAAGGGCAAUGUAAGAAAUUGACGUUGAACGGGAUUAAGCAAGAAAUGAUUCUGGUGGACAGAUGCAACGAAGCACAUGUGUCAAUCUCAGAAGAAAGUGGAGAACACGUGUCGUCAUCGUUCGAAAGAAGACAUGCAGCAAAAGACGUAGCACCCGCACAUACGUUGUCGUUCGAAAUGAGACAUGAAGCGAAAGAUGUAGCUCCCACACAUGCGUUGCUCUCAAACGGUGUAAAUCAAGCGGCGAAUGAUGAUUCAUGUAGCUGGUAUUUGGACACGGGUUGUUCGAACCAUAUGACAGGGAGACGAGAAUGGUUAGUAAACCUCGAUCCAAGUAUAAAGAGCCGUGUGCGAUUUGCGGACAACAGCACGAUCAUGGCGGAAGGAGUUGGCAGAGUCUUGAUCACUUGCAAGAACGGUAAGAUCGCUUACAUGGAUGACGUCUUGUAUGUUCCUUCAAUGAAGAGCAACUUGUUGAGUUUAGGGCAACUCCUGGAGAAAGGGUACACCAUGUCUAUGCAUCAGCGACAUAUAGAAAUAUUUGACAGCAAACAACGUCCUGUGAUUAAAGCACCACUUGCCCGUAACAGGACUUUCAAAGUGAAUUUGAACGCUGCAGCUAUACAGUGUUUGUCUGUCUCAAACCACGAAGAAGAAGGAUGGCUAUGGCACUACAGAUACGGGCAUCUAAAUUUCAAAGGCCUGAGUCAAUUGAAAGGCAAGGAUUUGGUGAAAGGUGUGCCUUCAAUAUUUGUUCCAGACAGAAUCUGUGAGGGUUGUGCUAUAGGCAAGCAAUCUAGAAGGAGAUUUCAACAAUUGGCACCCAAAAGAGCGAAACAGCCUCUGGAUGUUGUCCACUCAGACGUUUGCGGCCCCUUCGAUGUUCCAUCAGUUGGAGGUAACAAAUAUUUCUUGUUAUUUGUAGACGAAUGGACGAGAAAAAUGUGGAUAUAUUUGUUGAAAGCAAAGAAAGAGGUAUAUUCAUAUUUUGUGAAAUUUUGCUCUUUGGUGGAGAGACAAUCUGGCUCGCAGGUUAGGGUGUUCAGAACCGAUGGAGGAGGAGAGUUCAACUCCUCUGAGAUGGACAAGUUUUGCACUGAAAAAGGCAUUGUGCAUGAAGUAACGGCUCCCUACACACCACAGCAUAACGGCCUAGCUGAAAGAAGGAACAGGACGAUAGUUGAUAUGACGAGAUGUAUGAUUAAAGCCAAGCAAUUGCCGCAUUGUUUGUGGGGAGAAGCAACAUCUACUGCUGUCUAUCUUCUGAAUAGAAGUCCUACGAAGGCCUUGCCUACAUGUACCCCUGAAGAAGCCUGGUCUGGAAUUAAACCAACUGCAUAUCAUUUGAGAGUUUUCGGGUCUGUGUGCUAUAGACACAUCCCAGAUGAACGAAGGAAGAAACUGGAUGAUAAGAGUGAGAUUCUCAUCUUUGUUGGCUAUCAUCCUACAGGUGCUUACAGACUGUAUGACCCAGUAAAGAAGCAGGUUGUCAUCAGUCGAGAUGUGGUGGUGGAUGAAACAACAACAUUUGACUGGGAGAAGGCUGAAGAAAAAUCUGAAGGAGGUUGUAUUCCAAGUUGGCUUGAGGAUAAGAGUUCCUUCAAUGAUGAGCAAACAGACGCAGACCGUGAAAUUAACAAUAGAAGAUCACAAAGGACAAGGUUUCCAUCCACCAGACUUACAGACCAUGAAGUCUUUCCUGACAAUGAAGUUACUAGCUCAGGUGAUCUUGUACAUUUUGCGUUUUUGGCCGACACAGAACCACUGACCUGGAAGCAAGCUAUUGAUGUAAAGGAGUGGAGAGAAGCCAUGUUGGAGGAACUUAAGGCAAUAGAGAAAAACAGAACCUGGGAGAUGGUGGAAUUACCUCAGCAUAAACAGCCCAUUGACGUUAAAUGGGUGUUUAAAAUCAAGCACAAACCAGAUGGUGAAGUAGCAAAGUUCAAAGCCAGAUUGGUGGCAAGAGGUUUCUUACAAAAGCCUGGAGAGGAUUUCACUGAUGUGUUUGCUCCUGUUGCACGACUUGAAACAGUGAGGUUGUUGAUUGCUGUGGCCAAUAUUAAAGCUUGGAGAAUUUGUCAAAUGGAUGUUAAAUCCGCUUUUCUGAACGGUUUUUUGGAGGAAGAGGUUUAUGUGAGACAACCUCCAGGUUUUGUGAAGAAAGGAGAAGAAGGAAAAGUGUAUAGAUUGAACAAAGCUUUAUAUGGUCUCAGGCAGGCACCUCGUGCUUGGAAUAACCAUAUCAACGCAGUUCUGCUCAAACUGGGAUUCAAGAGGUGCUCCGUAGAAUCUGGAGUCUAUGUGAAAUCUGGUGAAAGGCAAGGUAUGUUGUUGAUAUGCCUAUAUGUGGAUGAUCUUCUUAUAACAGGAGACUCAAUAGAUGAAAUUGAAGAAUUUAAGAAGAAGAUGAAGGAGGAAUUUGAGAUGACAGAUCUCGGUGGUUUAAGCUACUUCCUGGGUUUGGAAUGUGUGCAGACAAGCGGUGGAAUGUUUCUUAGUCAAAGGAGAUAUAUUAGCAAUGUGUUGAGAAGAUUUAAGAUGGAAAACUGCAACAGUGCAGCAGUACCAAUAAUGACAAAUUUGAAGUUGAUAGACAAUCCAGAUGAGAAGAAGGUGGACGCCACUUUAUAUAAACAAAUGGUAGGAUCCUUGCGUUAUAUUUGUAAUAGCAGACCCGAUAUCUGCUAUGGAGUUGGGCUGGUGAGCAGAUUUAUGCAGGAGCCUAGACAAUCACAUCUUGCUGCUACCAAACACAUAUUGCGAUAUUUGAAGGGAACUUCAAAUUUUGGUCUGUUCUUCCCCAAAAACCCGAACAACAUGAGAGGAGUUUUGGAGGCUUGGUGUGAUGCUGACUGGUGUGGUGACAAAGUUGAUAGGAAAAGUACUUUUGGGUACUUGUUCAGAUAUAUGGGAGCGACUGUUUCGUGGUGCUCCAAGAAGCAGAGCGUGGUCGCAUUAUCCUCUUGCGAGGCUGAAUAUAUCGCAGCUGCUGAGACUGCGUGUCAGUGUGUGUGGAUGGAAACUAUGUUUGAUGAACUAAGGAUUGAGUACGGAAAACCGGUGCAGCUCUCAGUGGAUAAUAAAUCAGCAAUAUGUUUGUCCAAAAAUCCAGUUUUUCACGGUAGGAGCAAACACAUUGAAACCAAAUUUCAUUUCCUAAGAGAUCAAGUCAGCAAAGGUAGAUUGGAGCUGGUUCAUUGCAGCACUGAUGAUCAAAUUGCAGAUGUGUUCACCAAAGCUUUGAAGCAAGUCAAAUUUGAGAAACUUAGAGAAUUGCUUGGUGUUAAAACUUUUGUAAAUUCAGAUUAAGGAGGGCGUGUUAGUAUUUUAAUCUGAAUAUCUCCCAACUGUAAUAACUGUCCUCUGACAGUUAUUCUCAUUCUUUAGUUUUACUCUUUAAAUACUUCUUUUGUACUCUCUAUUUCAAUUUUCUUCAAUAAGAAUAACUCUCAUUUUCUUCAAACUCUCUUACACUCUGUAUUCUCUCCUCUGCAUAAUUGCUUCUCUGCAUAAUUCUUCCAAACUGUAACAUAUAUACAAAUUAUUUUUUUCUACAUUAGUCAUAACGUUGAUUUGAAAAUUUUUCUAAUAUAAAAAAAUCUUUUUAUACUAGUUAAAAGAGGUUUUCUAUACCAAUUGUAAAAUCGAUAUAUAGAAACAAACAAUAAAAAAGUUUUAACUUUUCUAUAACGAAUUCAUAAUUGGUAUAGGAAGUUUCUUUUUUUCAUAAUGGUUAAUACCACAAUCGGUAUAAUAACCUAAUGCUUUCUUUUUCUUUUGUUCGCCUAUGAACAUAACAUUCUUAAACACAUCAACCAUGAAUCUAGAGCAAAACCAAGAACUAAAAAAUAAUUAUUCACUAAUUGAAUGCCCCACAAUUGCAUCUGUUGUCAUCGUUGACGUCUGACACUUCUUUAGAGCCUUUGAACAUAACAUCACUUCUUCUCUUGAGCAUUCUUUUCAAACAAAAACAACCAAGGUGCAAUAACUUCAAAGAACCUCUAAGUCAUCGCUCUAUACUUAUACUUGUGGUCGUCGACGGUUUCGCUAACACAACCUUUUUCUCCCUCUUAAGGGUUUCUCCAUAUCUCCCAAGUGUUUAUCUCCUCAUGCUUUGUUGCCAAUAUGUUGUGACGGCUUACAACUAGAGGUGUAGCACUACCUCGUCACCAUCGUCUAAGUCGUUGUUGGUGCUGGCGCAACCUCUCUACUCCUUCCACUUCAUAUGAGUGUCUUCCUUCUUGCUCACCAAAAUUAAAAUCCUCUCCAUUAUACUGAGAGUGACACCACUUAAUCUUGUUGUUGAUCGUCGCUAAACCAAUAUUCAGAUAUGUUUUUGGCACAUUGUUCUUUACAAUUAAUAAACAUGAGGAUCCUUUAGAAAUCUUCCUUUGAGAAUUUUGAUAUAACGUUGAGAUUCCCAAAGUCUUGUUGACUUUUUUGUUGUGUUACAUUUGUGUUGUUUAUGGGUGCUAGCUAAGAUAAAUGAAAGCGUUAGAGAAGAAUGGUUGGAUGGAAUUUAUUAUAUGAAAACUAUGAGUAUGGAGUUGAAGAUCACAAAUAAUAAUCGAGAGUUCAGAGAUAUGACAAAAUUUUUUGAAAUUAUCGACGGAAAUAAAUUUGUCUAUAAAUUUGAAUUAUCGAAGGAUUUUGCUGACAAAUUUUUAAUUCCGUCAGUAAUGCAUAUUUCAUUUACCGACAAAAUUUUUCGUCGAAAAAUCCGUCGAUAAUACAUAAUAAAUUUAUCGGUGAAAAAAUUUAUCAUUAAUACAUAUUAAAUUUAACAAUGGAAAGGUUUGUCGGUAAAUCCAUAGGAAAUACAUAUUAAAUUUAUCGAUGGAAAAAUAUGUCGGUAAAUCUGUUGGUAAUACAUAUUUAAUUUACCGACGGAAAGUCCUUCGAUAAAUCCUUUGAUAAAUACGUCGAUAAAAAGAACGACAAAUUUCCCACCCAUUCUUUGUCUCUUUUCGCGAACUGCACAUUACUUUUCUCACCACUUUUCUUUUAUUUUCAAAACCCUCUUCAUCUUCUUUUCUCUCCGUGAGGCAGCCCCUCAUCUCUCCUAUUUUUUCCAUCUAAGCUUAGAUUACCGCAACUCUAGGCCCAUUUGAUGCGCCUCCAUCUUUGUUUAGCCAAACCGCCAUCUACGUCGCCAUCUAUGUCGUCAAGCUUGGGAUCUUUCGCUUCGCUUCAUCUUCUUCUUCUUUAACACAUGUAAGGGAGAGAUCAUGGUUCAGUUCUUCCUUUUUCAUGCAAGGGCACAUCCAAGCUAGGUGCACUAUUGUCGUGCCACGCACUAGCACCACUAUGCAUCAUCGUUGGACCAUGAUGGAUUUGAAGCCAACAAAAUCCUUUUAUUCUCUUUUCUCUCUUUUUUAUUUGUAUUUGUGGUGAAAUAAUUUGAUAGGUUGGCUAUAAUUUUGUGUAGGUUAUGAAAUUGUUGUAAUAAUAGUUGGGUGAUAAUAAAAUUGUGUAACAAACCAAAGUGGAAUAGUGAAUAAAAGCAUAACGAUGAAAUUUUGUGCAUAAAAUUGUAUCAAUUUGUGUAACAUUCGAUUAUAAUGUGUCCAUUUUUGUUGAUUGAAAAAAAAAUAAGGGAAAGAAGAAAGGAAGAGGGGAAGAAGUUGAACCAGAUCUUAGUAGUUUGCAACCAAUUCAUUUUUUGUAUCUGUUAGGUCCAACCAAUAUAUGAAGUGUUCUACUUAUUUACCAAAUUGUCACCACAUUAGAUGGAGAACUAACCCAUGACUCCAUAUAAGAAGAACUUGAGGAGGAGCCUUUUGCAUGAAGGUAUGAAGGUCAUAGCUUGGAGCACAAUCUUGGUAAUACCUACACUUGUGGUGCAUCAGGUUUUUUCUUUUUGUUUAUUCAUUGUGUAUUAGUGUUGCCUUUGUUGUUUAGGCAAGGCUUCCAAAGGGAGUGUGUGUAGACUCUUAUUUAAGAAUGUGUUUUGUUGUGAUUGAGAGAGUGAGAGUAUAUUGAGUGAGUCUUGUAUUCUAUAAAUCUUGACAUUUGAUUUUAGUGGACUUCAACUCGAGUUGUUGAAAAAAAGAUUGAAUGUAAAUUCUUGAAGAGUUGAACCGAUAUAAAUCUUGUGUUGUUUUCUUUCACUAAUCUUGUUAAAUCUUUGGAAUGUUAAAAGAUUCAUUGAAAACAACCUUAUACACCAAUUUUUUUUAAAGAAAGUUAAAAGGAAUUUUCAAACAAAUUCACUACCUCUUGUUUUGUAAUAUAUUUUUUCGUAGAACAGGAUAACCAAGCAUUAUCACCAUCAUACAACACCGACGUUGGUAAAAUUAAAAGAAAAAAGGAGAAGAGAAAAAAAAUGAACUAGAUUGCGAUAUUUACCGACAACUUUAUCUGUCGAUGUUUACCGAUAAAUUUUUCUUUUAAUAAUUUUAGACAAUUUUUUUUUCCAAUGAUUACUGACAUAUUAAUAAAAUCCUUUGAUAAAAUUUACUAACAACAAUUUUACCAACGAAUUUUUUGUUAUCAAUAAACUUUCAAUAAUUUUAAUUUACUGAUAAAUUUUGUACAUUAUCAACAAAUUUUAAUUGUUAAUAAUAUCGAUUUUUAUCUAUAAUAAAUGCUCUAAUCUUUUACCUGUAUAUCAUCUGUCGCAAUCGGAAAAUCGCGACGGGACGACGAUCCAAAAAGAAAAUAAUUUGAAAAAUGUUUUGGAGUCGCUACUAUAGUUUAUUAUGGAAAACUACGGAAAAACCGUAAAAUGAUAAGGCAAGGUCUACAAAACCAAAUUCUGGUUUCGGAAGUCGGUUACGUGUGGGGAAGGUGUUAGCACCCCCACAGCGCCUGCCCUAAGGCAGUACCUUUAACUAAAUACGUGAAUUUGAUGUGGUUUGCAAAAUGUUUAAUUUCCCCUAAAAAAUAAGACUCUAAAGAAAACAAAAUAUUUUUUGUGUUUUUUGUGUCUGACAAGGAUUGACCUUGCUCCUAUGUAUUCUCAGUUGAACUGAGAAAUCAGGGUUACGUAGUUCUUUAAUUAUGUUCAGAUGAUUGUUUGAAAACAUGAUGUUUUAUAUUUUUUGUUAAUUUUUUGAGAGGAGAAGAAAAAGGUUUUUAACACAAGGCUGAUGCAAAUGGUCGCACGUGUGCUUAAACCUUUUAAAAUAAUAUUUUUUUAUAUUUUUAAAUAGAAGAAGAAAAAGGUUUUUAACACGAACGGUCGCACGUGUGCUUACACCUUUUAAAAUAAUUUUUGUAUUUUUAAAUAGAAGAAGAAAAAAAGGUUUUUAACACAAGGCUGACGCGAAUGGUCGCACGUGUGCUUACACCUUUUAAAAUAACUUUUUUUUUUUAAAAGAAGGAGAAAAAGGUUUUCAACACAAGGCUGAUGCGAAUGGUCGCACAUGUGCUUAAACCUUUUUAAAAUAAUAAUUUUUAUUUUUAAAAGAAGAAGAAAAAAAAAGGAUUUUUAACACAAGGCUGACGCGAAUGGUCGCACGUGUGCUUAAACCUUUUCAAAAUAUUUUUGAUUGAUAGUUUUUAUGAUUUUUAUAUUUUUUUUAUUUUUAACAAACAAACAAUGAUAAAACAAAUUCUAAAGCUAAAGAAAUAAAAGCGAAGGCAAUAAUAAAAAAAACAAUAUAGUCCAAUAAGUCCAAUAAAAAAAGGGAGGGCAGAAGACAAAACCAGGGGUGCAACAUGAAACUUAUUGGCCCAUGACCAGAGGUAGGGGUGCAGCAGAUGAAAAUUGGUGGUGCGUUUGGUAGGUGCUGGCCCAAGCCCUUUUUCGUUUUUGUUGAAGCACGGUGGAGGUGUGAAUGGAAUUGAACAUGGUGGCCAGUAGAUAGAAAGUUGUCCAAUAGGCCUAAGGCCCUUUGCCCCAAAUCAGAACAAUAGGGGUUCUACCAAUUUCCUCUCAUUUGUGCAAGCACCAUCAUGACCCAGGGCCAUUUUCUUCUCUGAACGAAGGAAACAGAGACGCACCUCUACUCAACCGACCACCACAAGCUUCCAUCCAAGUCUUCACCGACAACGCCGCUUGCCACUGGGGCCAUCGCCGGCCACCGUGAGGGUUCUCCCCUUUCUUUCUCUCGCACGAGAGAUCUUCUUGUUCGUGAGUGACGUAGGCUGUUCGUCAUGCAAGUUGCCGUUGCCACCGAGCCAGGGUCGUCGUUCCCCGUCGAGCCUUCCUUCUUCCAUCAUCGCGCCACUGCCAAGGUCAUCGUCGCAACUGCAUCAAACGAAAUUCACGAGACCAUUCACGCCAACUCCUCCCUCCAUGGGUGUACCUUCGUCCAAUCAUUCCACUUCAAGUCAUCGACCUACGGCACCACUUGCCAUUGAUCUAGGUUCGCCGCAACUUUCUCCAAUUAGGCUUACCUUUGCUGCGUCUCCGAGAGCCACCACGAGUCUUCUUGUGCAACUUGCUUCAGAUUUGCCUAAAAAGUCAUCAGAACAUCUGUGUUGAUAUUGUUGCCACCCUUCGUGUAAACUUAGAACUUGCCUCUGAUAUCUGUUUUUUACUUUGAGUGUUGAGAUGAGUUCGUGUGAUGGUGAUGGAGGUAGUGAAUGAGUUUCUCUAUUUUUGUGUUUGGUGUUUCUGUGAUGGAGGGGGGUCGUGAGUGAUUGGCCCUUCUUUGUGUUUUUUAGGUGUCAGACCGAAUGGAAGGGAGGGGAUGGUGAUUCUGUUGAGUUGAUGAGGUUGGAGAUAAUGGUGGAUGCUCUGGUUUUGAGUGUAUCGAAGGUGAUGGAAUGGAAGAACGACGAGAGAGAUGAUUCUGUUGGAGGAAAAUGGGUUCCCUCCUUGAGGUUUGUGUUUUUGGCCGAAGGGAAAAAGAAAAAUGGGUAAGUGAUUGGUGUGUCAGGAAGGAAAUUCCUCCGGAGGUGUGCGUGUUGAGUGAUGGAGAGGAGUGUGUGAGGUUAAUCUAUUGGAUGAACGUCUGAUGGUCUAUUGCUUGAAUGGGGGAAUUAGAGAAGAAGGUGUCAAUAAUGGAUGUUGUUGGAGAUGAAGGGAGGAUGCUUUAUGUGUUGCGUGAUGAGGUGUGGUGUGCGUGAGGAUGGUGUGCCUCUUCCUGAAGGCCUCCCUCUUUGCCAGUAUAUCCUCUGCCAAUCCACACCGUGUCUGCCAACCCAAUCGUGCCUGCAAAAAUCGUUUCUUGCUCCCUUGCUGUCCAACCCCGUACACACUGCUCCUAUCCCAGCUAAAACCUCUCUUUUCUUUUACUUUUUUUUUACUAAAAGACAAAAAACUACACUUUUUUUCUUUUUUUUUCUUUUUUUUUCUUUCAUGUUUUUUCUUUUUUUUUUUCGUUUUCCUUUUCUUUUCUUUUGGUUCUUUCGUUUUGUUUUUUGUUUUUUCUUUCUUUCCUUUUUUUUCAUUUCUUUUCUUACUUAUUUUUUUUAUAUAUUUUGUUUUUCAAAUAGAAAAUAAAAUCAAAUGAUAGCUAAAUCAAAUAUCAAAAAACUAAAAACUAAAAUAAAAUAAGACACAUAAAAAAAUAAGUCCUACUAUUUAGUCACCCAGACGAAAUUGUGGUUGAUAUGAUUAUACUUUUCUCUUCAUGUAACAAGAAGAAACUAUCACUGUCACAUGUUUCCUGAAGUUUAUUUUUUAUGGAGUAAAUUAGUUUUGGCAAUUUGAUGCGUUAUGUACACUACUUUGAUUCUUCAAUUAAAGAAGUUUGUCAGUCAUAAUUGUACUACUACAUGAACUCAAUAUCCUACUUAUCCUACCUAACAAUUCAAUUGUUUUCUCCAUAAUAGUGUAAUAUAUAUUAGUAUUUUAAAUAAAAAAAACAAUAGUAUAUAAUUAAUAUAUUAAUUUAUUAAGUUAUUAAGCAAAUGUUUUUAUUUUUUACUGGUGUCAAAAUAACAUGUCUUUUUUUUUAAAAAAAUAAAAACUUUCAAACCCUCAGCAUUCAGACUCUUUCUAGUUUUAAGUUUAAAAAUAAAAAACAUGAUAAAGUAUUAUUUUUUUUAUGAGUUAAGUGGAUGUUUUUGUCUCUUUGUCAUGUCAAAAUAUCAGUUUUUUUAAAGAUUUGACACGCCUUAGAAUAAAUACAUUCAGAUCAAAACAUGCUAUAAUACGUUAGGGUGGACAAAUUGAACUGAACUGUACUGCACUGCUAAAAUCUGAACUGAACUCUAAAACAGUUCAGACAAACUGAACUGAACUGUAAAACAGUUCAGAAAAACUGAACUGAAUUGUUUUUCGUUUUAUUAAACUGAAUUGAAUUGUACUGUACUAAAUUACAGUAUGAACUAAACUGAACUAUUAAUUGAAUUGUAAACUACACUAACUGAACUAUUAACUGAAUUAUAAACUGCACUAAUUGAACUGAACUAUUUAUUAACUAAAUUGUAAACUAAUUUUAACUAAAGUAUAAUAUAAACUGAACUACUAACUAUACUAAUUUUAAACUAAAUUGUACUAAUUUUUAAACUAAAUAUUAUAACAAUACAUAUUGAAAUUUAUUUUAAUAUUUAUUUUAUUUUAUUCAUAAGUAUCUAAUAAAAUGAUUUUUAAUUAUUUAAUAUUAUUAUUUUCUAUUUUAUUUAUAUUUCUUUUAUUAUUAAAAAUUAUUUUAUUUUUUAUUUAUUUACUUAUAUAUAUAUAUAUAUAUAUAAAUGUAUAUAUAUAACUUAAAAAAUAUAAAAAUAUAAAUUAUGUUUUUUAUUUUUAUUGAUAAAAAAUGGAAAUUUUGUGAUAAAAAAAUUGUCUUAAAAAAUUAAUUAUUAUUUUUUUAUGUGAACAAUUUUAUUUAUUAGUAUUUUAUUAUUAAAUAAAGUUUUCUUGAGUUGUACUGAAACUAGAGAAGAUAUAAGAGUAAAUACAGUUCUCACAGUUAACUGAACUGUAAUGUUAUAAAAAACUGAACCAUAAAACAGUAUACUGAACUGUUAGUAAAAGUGGUUCAGUUAUUUUUAGUAUAAUAUAGUACAGUUAACUACAGUACAGUACAGAUCAGUUAUUUUUGCCCAACCUAAUACAUUGGGUUGAUUUGAUGAUAAUUUUGAUGAUGUAUGCAAUUUUGUUGUUGUUAUUGAUUCGCCUUAUUCGUCUCACUUAUUGUCAAAAAUAUCAUUAUCCUAGUUGAAAAUAGGAAUGCAUGCCAAACGAAUCAUAGUAUGCAAAAGGAAAUGUAUAGGAGAGACUGAACUUUUGAGCUCCCGUAACUUGUAAUUCACGUUGCUAAUAUGAGAGAAGACGUUUGCAUAAAUUUAAAUUAAAAAAGAAUUAUAUUUUUUAAUAUUAAAUAGAAAGAUAAAUAUAUCAUUAUAUAUAUAAUCAUUAUAUAUAUAUAUAUAUAUAUAUAUAUAUAUAUAUAUAUAUAUAUAUAUAUAUAAAUUAUUAACCAAGCAUUCAUAUAAAUACGGGAAACUAAUCACUAAUCACUAAUCACUAUGAUUUAAUAAUGCGCAUACUUUAAAAGAAAACUUUAAUAUCUAAAUUGGAAAAAAUUAAGAUUCAAACAGUAUAAUUGUUAUUUUGUUUUGAGGGAAUAUUUUAGUGAUUAUAUUUAAAUUAUAUUUUUUUCAUUCUUUUGCUUGUUAAUUUAAAAUAAAUAAAUUAAAAUAUAAAUAAUCUUUAUGUGGGCUAUCCUACGAGUCAAAAUGUUACGUGGAAGAAGCCAAGAAAAUUAAUUUGCAUGUCAUUGAUAGCCCUGAUUCACUUUUUAUGCACCAAAUGCAAAGCAGAACAAAACAGGACGCAUUCUCACCCUAUAAUAAAAAGAAAAUAUAUUUUAAUAAUUUUUUAGACAAUGUUUUUGAACGGUUUUUAUGGAAACGAAUCGGUAAAAUAAUAAUAUAUAAUUUGUUGUCAAAAAAUUAUAAAAUAUUAUAAUAAAAAAUAAAUAAAUGUAUGAGUCUUUCUAUAUAUAUAUUAAUCAUUUUAUUUGUAUUUAUUUAAUGUGAGAUUUCAAGGGCUUGAAUUCUUAAGAUAUGACAUACAUGUACUUAUCAUCAUGAUAAAUAAAUGACGUGGCAUUUUAGCAAAAUUAUUAUAAACCGGCGGAAAAACAUUUUGGUAGCUAACCGAAUCUUAUUAAAGCAUCAAAUUCAUAUAUAUUUUUUCUUGAGGAGUUGAUAAUGUUGAGAAUUAGAUAAAUCUAUUUUAAUUAAUUUAUCUUUUUAAAUUUCUGUUAAAUGAUUCUUUAUUUCCUGACUUUUAUUUUUCAAAAUUUCAAAAUAUUAAUUAUUUUAAUAGAUGGACCGAAUUAUUCAAUCGGCUUUUUAUUAUUAUACUUUACCACAACGUUUUAUUGAGAGAAAUAAAAUCUUAACCCUCUUUUAAAAAUAAACAAGGUCGUGCUCCACGGGAAACAUAAAAUAUUCCUCGCCACGAGCUUUAAUGUUAUAUAUAAUUUAUUUACUACUAUUAUUGCUGUGCUUCGUGAAGCUCGUGGAUUUUAACUGUUGUUAAAAUAAGAAAUAAAAUGUUAUCUCUGAUGUCUCUUUUUAUUUUUAUAUUAUAACUUUUCUAAUUAUUAAAAGAAAGGUUGCUAUCUUUUGUGACACGUGUCUCAUUGGAUUGCUAAAACAAAGUCAACUUCUUGCUUUAAUUUGUAUUGUGUCAAAUAACUAUCGAAUAUGUUUGUAUAUUUUAAAAUUACAAAACAAUAUAUAUAUAUAUAUAUAUAUAUAUAUAUAUNNNNNNNNNNNNNNNNNNNNNNNNNNNNNNNNNNNNNNNNNNNNNNNNNNNNNNNNNNNNNNNNNNNNNNNNNNNNNNNNNNNNNNNNNNNNNNNNNNNNNNNNNNNNNNNNNNNNNNNNNNNNNNNNNNNNNNNNNNNNNNNNNNNNNNNNNNNNNNNNNNNNNNNNNNNNNNNNNNNNNNNNNNNNNNNNNNNNNNNNNNNNNNNNNNNNNNNNNNNNNNNNNNNNNNAUAUAUAUAUAUAUAUAUAGAUAAUAAUAUUUAGACAACAUUUUUUUGACAAUAUUUGAACAUUGAUUAUGUUUUAAUAUGUGAUUGGUCAUAAAUUACUUUAUAAUCAAUAAUAAUAAUCACAAACACUAUUAUAAAAUAAUUUACGACCAAUCACGUAAUCAAUGUUAAAAUGUUAUCAAGAAAAUAUUGUCUAAAUAUCAUUAUCAUAUAUAUAUAUAUAUAUUAAUUAGAAAAACCAUAUAAACAAUCAAAUUAAAUAUAUAAGUUCUUCACUUAAAACAAAUAAAAGCAUAAAAAUACAUCAAUAUAUAAAUUCCAAUUUUGUAUAGUUUCUUAGCUUAGCAAUUACAUUAAAAUAACUGAGUCCAACUUCAUCCUUAUCCAUAUAUUGUACUUGCAUAGCAUGACAUCUAAUCUUUUACUUACACUGAGCACGUCGCUAAAGACAUCUAUAUAGUCUCUCCGAAUUUUUUUAAAAUCUUUUUAUUAUAAAUGAAUUUGAAUUAAUUUUAUUCUAAUAGCCUUAAAGAAUAAAAAGUAUAAAAAAAAUUGACAAUAAUUAUCUUCGUAUAAUUAUAGAUCAUAAUUAUACAGUUCUGUUAUGAACUUUACAAAUAUUUAGACUAUAUAUAAAUGAACAAAAUUGAUUAUUAUAUAUCUUUUCUGUUAAAACCAACAUUGAAAAUGAUGAUUUUCAGAAAAUAUUUUUAUUGGUAAGAAAAAAAAAUUGGUUUUCGGAUAAAAAACUCGUUUCAAAAUUCUACGAUAUCAUAUUUCACAACAUUAUGGAUCAAACUACCAAUAAUUGCUUUCUUUUUUUAAAAAUUGCCAAUUCUUUACAUUUCUCCACCUAUAACAUUUCAAAUAUCUUAACACAAAUUAUUAUUUUUCAUUAAAAAUCGAGUUAUUUUAAAAAUAUAUUUCAUUAAUUUAAUAAAUUAACUAUAAUUCAGUUAUUAAAUUUAGAAAAAAAUAUUAAAAUAAUUUACCCACAUGUUGUGAAUGUCUCUCUUUCAUAAAUGAACCUUUGUUUCUAUUCUGAGCUCUUUCUUUCCUUCUUUUUUCCUUUCUCUAUGUUGGAAAUUGAACUCUCCAUAUAUAAUUAAACCAUGUAUUAUCUUAUGAUUUUUGAAGUAGAAACACGUGCUGCUAUAGCACCAUCUUUGGUUCUAUAUAAAGAACCAAAAUGCAGUACACCAAAACAUCUCCAACAACACCUUCCAAAUCGAUCAACCAUGAAGCCAACCCUAGUUCUUGCUCUCUCUUUCCUCCUUCCCCUCCUUGCUUUCUUCACCAACCUUCCCUUAGCUUUCUCAGAUGAUGUUCAACAAGUUGUGGACAUAUAUGGGAACCCCAUUUUCCCAGGUUUCAUAUACUACAUCAUCCCAGCAAUCCGUGGUCCAGCUGGUGGUGGAUUGAAACUUGCCCAAACUGGAAAGUCAGAGUGCCCUCUUACUGUUCUGCAAGAUUACUCAGAAGUCUUCCGUGGCCUCCCUGUGCAAUUCACCAUUCCCGGAAUCAGCCCUGGAAUCAUCUUCACAGGUA
rnacentral:lncRNA from 1 species